rnacentral:rRNA from 1 species
AUUGAACGCUGGCGGCAUGCCUUACACAUGCAAGUCGAACGGCAACAGGUCUUCGGAUGCUGACGAGUGGCGAACGGGUGAGUAAUACAUCGGAACGUGCCUAGUAGUGGGGGAUAACUACUCGAAAGAGUGGCUAAUACCGCAUGAGAUCUACGGAUGAAAGCAGGGGAUCGCAAGACCUUGUGCUACUAGAGCGGCCGAUGGCAGAUUAGGUAGUUGGUGGGAUAAAAGCUUACCAAGCCGACGAUCUGUAGCUGGUCUGAGAGGACGAUCAGCCACACUGGGACUGAGACACGGCCCAGACUCCUACGGGAGGCAGCAGUGGGGAAUUUUGGACAAUGGGCGCAAGCCUGAUCCAGCAAUGCCGCGUGCAGGAUGAAGGCCUUCGGGUUGUAAACUGCUUUUGUACGGAACGAAAAGCCCUGGGUUAAUACCCUGGGAUCAUGACGGUACCGUAAGAAUAAGCACCGGCUAACUACGUGCCAGCCGCCGCGGUAAUAC